ACUCUGCUGUGAAUAAUACUGAUUCAAGUCGAGGACUGUGAGGACAUCAUGUUAAAUUAAUCAGCUCACAAUCCAUGACAAACUAUGUAUGUGUUGUCUACUGGAGAAAUAAAAAUGCAGCCUAUACUUUCAUGUGAGGUGCCAAAACUGUUAAGUGUCAGAAGACUGAUCGGAUCAUUUCUGAGCUGCCAGUAUAUAAAAUGGCUAGUUCCAGUCCUCAAAUUUGAUUGCCUGAGCAUCGUUCCAAGAGAGCUGAUACAGUGCACUGAUCAACCACAACAUUAAAACCACAGACAGAAAAACUGGACAAGUGAAAAGAUCUGAGUGACUUUUGAAAGGACCAGAUAGUGAUGGCUAGACGACUUGGUCAGAGCAUUUCCAAAAGUUUUGUGGGAUGUUCCCGGUAUGCAGUGGUUGGAUACUACUAAACUACUAACUACUAAAAGUGGUGCAAGGAAAGACAACUUCACUGAUGCAUGAGGAGCAAAGGCUGUCUGGUCUGAUCACACAGAAGAGCUACUGUAUAGCUCAAAUAGCUGAAAAACCCGAUGCUGGCCAUGGUAGAAAGCUUUCAGAACACAGAGUGCAUCGAGGGGGACAGCAUGAGGGUACUGUGAUGAUCCCUGUCCACCACCGGAAGCACUUAUAAUGGGUAUAUUAGCGUCAGAACUGGACCAUGGAGCAAUGGAAGAAUGUGCCUAGUCUGCUGAAUCAUGUUUUCUUUUAGAUUAGAUGGAUGACUGGGUGGAUGUGUACUGUUCACCUCGGGAAGAGAUGGCAGCAGGAUCCACGGGAGGAUAGCAGGCAGAUGGAGGCAGUGUUAUGCUCUGGGCAAUGUUCUGCUAGAAACCUGAGGCCCCAGCAUUCAUGUGGAUGCUACUUUGACACAUUCCACCUAAUCUAAAGAUUGCUGCAGACCAUGUAUACCCCUUAAUGGCAAUGGUGCUCCCUGAUGGCAGCUGCUUAUUCCAGCAGGUUAAUGCAUCUUGCCACACUGCAAAUUUUUCAGGAAUGGUCUGAGGAACUUGACAAAGAGUUCAAGGUGCUGAACUCCCCGGAUUUCAAUUUGACUGAGCAUCUUUGUAAUGUGCUUGACCAACAAAUUAAAUCCAUGGAGGCCUCACUCCACUAACGUGCAGCACUCAAGGGAUCUGCUGCUAAUAUCCUGGUGCCAGAUACUACAAGACACAGUCAGAGAGAGCUCAUUCAUUGUGUGUUGCUCAGAAACGUAGUUCUACUUUGGCAUUUUUUGGAACAGGGCAAAGACAGACAAAGUUACUGGUGAGUGGUGAAUUCCAUUGGAAGUGAGCAUCUCUAUGCGGGGCAGAGCCCUUGCAGUGAGGACCUUGAAAGGAAGCUGGGCAAUCGUAUCUUAAAAUAUAACCGUUUAGAACACACUUGGUGAAGGGAGCAAUAAAAGACAGAGUUAUUAUCUUCAACAUGAGAAGCGUGUCAUCCAUCAACCCAUUAGCUAUUCUUCUAAGGA